AACGAACGCUGGCGGCAUGCUUAACACAUGCAAGUCGAACGGGCAUAUGGGGCUUGCUUCAUAUGUUAGUGGCAGACGGGUGAGGAACGCGUGGGAACGUACCCUAAAGUUCGGAAUAACUGUUGGAAACGACAGCUAAUACCGGAUAUGACCGAGAGGUUAAAGGUUUACCGCGUUGGGAGCGGCCCGCGUUAGAUUAGUUAGUUGGUGGGGUAACGGCCUAUCAAGGCGAUGAUCUAUAGCUGGUCUGAGAGGAGGACCAGCCACACUGGGACUGAGGCACGGCGCAGACUCCUACGGGAGGCAGCAGUGGGGAAUAUUGGAAAAUGGGGGCAACCAUGAUCGAGCAAUGCCGCGUGAAUGAAGAAGGCCUUAGGGUUGUAAAGUUCUUUUAUUGAUGAAGAUAAUGACGGUAAUCAAUGAAUAAGCACCGGCUAACUUCGUGCCAGCCGCCGCGGUAAGAC
rnacentral:rRNA from 1 species